GAUUCGUCACACUAUCAUUAACUGAAUCCAUAGGUUAAUGAGGCGAACCGGGGGAACUGAAACAUCUAAGUACCCCGAGGAAAAGAAAUCAACCGAGAUUCCCCCAGUAGCGGCGAGCGAACGGGGAGGAGCCCAGAGCCUGAAUCAGCAUGUGUGUUAGUGGAAGCGUCUGGAAAGGCGCGCGAUACAGGGUGACAGCCCCGUACACAAAAGCGCAUGUGCUGUGAGCUCGAUGAGUAGGGCGGGACACGUGGUAUCCUGUCUGAAUAUGGGGGGACCAUCCUCCAAGGCUAAAUACUCCUGACUGACCGAUAGUGAACCAGUACCGUGAGGGAAAGGCGAAAAGAACCCCGGCGAGGGGAGUGAAAAAGAACCUGAAACCGUGUACGUACAAGCAGUGGGAGCACAGGUUUACCUGUGUGACUGCGUACCUUUUGUAUAAUGGGUCAGCGACUUAUAUUCUGUAGCAAGGUUAACCGUAUAGGGGAGCCGUAGGGAAACCGAGUCUUAACCGGGCGUUAAGUUGCAGGGUAUAGACCCGAAACCCGGUGAUCUAGCCAUGGGCAGGUUGAAGGUUGGGUAACACUAACUGGAGGACCGAACCGACUAAUGUUGAAAAAUUAGCGGAUGACCUGUGGCUGGGGGUGAAAGGCCAAUCAAACCGGGAGAUAGCUGGUUCUCCCCGAAAGCUAUUUAGGUAGCGCCUCGUGAAUUCAUCUCCGGGGGUAGAGCACUGUUUCGGCUAGGGGGCCAUCCCGGCUUACCAACCCGAUGCAAACUGCGAAUACCGGAGAAUGUUAUCACGGGAGACACACGGCGGGUGCUAACGUCCGUCGUGAAGAGGGAAACAACCCAGACCGCCAGCUAAGGUCCCAAAGUCAUGGUUAAGUGGGAAACGAUGUGGGAAGGCCCAGACAGCCAGGAUGUUGGCUUAGAAGCAGCCAUCAUUUAAAGAAAGCGUAAUAGCUCACUGGUCGAGUCGGCCUGCGCGGAAGAUGUAACGGGGCUAAACCAUGCACCGAAGCUGCGGCAGCGAACGUAUCACCCAAGACAACUUUACGGAGUUGACGAUUGACGGAGCGAAGCGACGUCAAAGCGUUCAUUAAAGUCGAGUUGGCUUAGGGAUACGUUCGUUGGGUAGGGGAGCGUUCUGUAAGCCUGUGAAGGUGUGUCGUGAGGCAUGCUGGAGGUAUCAGAAGUGCGAAUGCUGACAUAAGUAACGAUAAAGCGGGUGAAAAGCCCGCUCGCCGGAAGACCAAGGGUUCCUGUCCAACGUUAAUCGGGGCAGGGUGAGUCGACCCCUAAGGCGAGGCCGAAAGGCGUAGUCGAUGGGAAACGGGUUAAUAUUCCCGUACUUGGUGUUACUGCGAAGGGGGGACGGAGAAGGCUAUGUUGGCCGGGCGACGGUUGUCCCGGUUUAAGCGUGUAGGUGUGUGUUCCAGGUAAAUCCGGUUCACUUUAACACUGAGGCGUGACGACGAGGCACUACGGUGCUGAAGCAACAAAUGCCCUGCUUCCAGGAAAAGCCUCUAAGCAUCAGGUAACAUCAAAUCGUACCCCAAACCGACACAGGUGGUCAGGUAGAGAAUACCAAGGCGCUUGAGAGAACUCGGGUGAAGGAACUAGGCAAAAUGGUGCCGUAACUUCGGGAGAAGGCACGCUGACACGUAGGUGAAGUGAUUUACUCAUGGAGCUGAAGUCAGUCGAAGAUACCAGCUGGCUGCAACUGUUUAUUAAAAACACAGCACUGUGCAAACACGAAAGUGGACGUAUACGGUGUGACGCCUGCCCGGUGCCGGAAGGUUAAUUGAUGGGGUCAGCGCAAGCGAAGCUCCUGAUCGAAGCCCCGGUAAACGGCGGCCGUAACUAUAACGGUCCUAAGGUAGCGAAAUUCCUUGUCGGGUAAGUUCCGACCUGCACGAAUGGCGUAAUGAUGGCCAGGCUGUCUCCACCCGAGACUCAGUGAAAUUGAACUCGCUGUGAAGAUGCAGUGUACCCGCGGCAAGACGGAAAGACCCCGUGAACCUUUACUAUAGCUUGACACUGAACAUUGAGCCUUGAUGUGUAGGAUAGGUGGGAGGCUUUGAAGUGUGGACGCCAGUCUGCAUGGAGCCGACCUUGAAAUACCACCCUUUAAUGUUUGAUGUUCUAACGUGGACCCGUAAUCCGGGUUGCGGACAGUGUCUGGUGGGUAGUUUGACUGGGGCGGUCUCCUCCUAAAGAGUAACGGAGGAGCACGAAGGUUGGCUAAUCCUGGUCGGACAUCAGGAGGUUAGUGCAAUGGCAUAAGCCAGCUUGACUGCGAGCGUGACGGCGCGAGCAGGUGCGAAAGCAGGUCAUAGUGAUCCGGUGGUUCUGAAUGGAAGGGCCAUCGCUCAACGGAUAAAAGGUACUCCGGGGAUAACAGGCUGAUACCGCCCAAGAGUUCAUAUCGACGGCGGUGUUUGGCACCUCGAUGUCGGCUCAUCACAUCCUGGGGCUGAAGUAGGUCCCAAGGGUAUGGCUGUUCGCCAUUUAAAGUGGUACGCGAGCUGGGUUUAGAACGUCGUGAGACAGUUCGGUCCCUAUCUGCCGUGGGCGCUGGAGAACUGAGGGGGGCUGCUCCUAGUACGAGAGGACCGGAGUGGACGCAUCACUGGUGUUCGGGUUGUCAUGCCAAUGGCACUGCCCGGUAGCUAAAUGCGGAAGAGAUAAGUGCUGAAAGCAUCUAAGCACGAAACUUGCCCCGAGAUGAGUUCUCCCUGAGACUUAGAGUCUCCUGAAGGAACGUUGAAGACGACGACGUUGAUAGGCCGGGUGUGUAAGCGCAGCGAUGCGUUGAGCUAACCGGUACUAAUGAACCGUGAGGCUUAACCUUACAACGCCGAAG
rnacentral:rRNA from 1 species